rnacentral:rRNA from 1 species
GCGAACGCUGGCGGCAGGCUUCACACAUGCAAGUCGCGCGGGCACUUUCGGGUGUCAGCGGCGGACGGGUGAGUAACGCGUGGGAACGUGCCCUCUGGUUCGGAAUAACUCAGGGAAACUUGAGCUAAUACCGGAUACGCCCUUUUGGGGAAAGGCUUGCUGCCGGAGGAUCGGCCCGCGUCUGAUUAGCUAGUUGGUGAGGUAACGGCUCACCAAGGCGACGAUCAGUAGCUGGUCUGAGAGGAUGAUCAGCCACACUGGGACUGAGACACGGCCCAGACUCCUACGGGAGGCAGCAGUGGGGAAUAUUGGACAAUGGGCGCAAGCCUGAUCCAGCCAUGCCGCGUGAGUGAUGAAGGCCUUAGGGUUGUAAAGCUCUUUUAUCCGGGACGAUAAUGACGGUACCGGAGGAAUAAGCCCCGGCUAACUUCGUG